rnacentral:lncRNA from 1 species
UAAAAUUUAAAUUUAAUUUAUACAAUUAUAAAUAUAAAGUUUAAACUCAAGUUAAAUUUUAAAUUCGAAUUUAUGAAGAUUUAUCACUUAUGAAAUUAGCCAUUAUCUAAGUUGGUAAGUAACAAAAUUAAAUUAGGAAAUGAAGAUUUGUUGGAUAUUAUCAAAUUUGGUAAUUAGCUAAUGCAUAGUUUCAAAUAUUAUCUUUAUGAUUGAUUGGUAACCUGUUGAGCAGGUUACCAUUGUAUAAAAGUCAAUCUUAACAUCAAAAAUUGAAUGGUCGGAUUUAAAUUGGCCGGUGUAUAGAAGUAUUUCUCAUUUUAUAAUACUCGGGAAAAAAGAUUGGAUACUUUUUUAUUUUUUUCAAUUUUUUGAAGUACAAAUUUGGUGCUUUUAACUGCCACUAUUUUUGUAUUUUGUUUGAGAGGGAGUAGUAGAGAGG